UGGGGAAUAUUGGGCAAUGGGCGCAAGCCUGACCCAGCAACGCCGCGUGAAGGAAGAAGGUUUUCGGAUUGUAAACUUCUGUCCUAAGUGACGAACACAAUGACGGUAGCUUAGGAGGAAGCCCCGGCUAACUACGUGCCAGCAGCCGCGGUAAUACGUAGGGGGCAAGCGUUGUCCGGAAUGACUGGGCGUAAAGGGCGUGUAGGCGGCUUUUUAAGUGUGAAGUGAAAGUCCUGCUUUCAAGGUGGGAACUGCUUUGCAAACUGGAGAGCUUGAGUGCGGAAGAGGUAAGUGGAAUUCCCAGUGUAGCGGUGAAAUGCGUAGAGAUUGGGAGGAACACCAGUGGCGAAGGCGACUUACUGGGCCGUAACUGACGCUGAGGCGCGAAAGCGUGGGGAGCGAACAGG
rnacentral:rRNA from 2 species